rnacentral:lncRNA from 1 species
GUAUCCUCCUCGUCCUCACCAUGACUUUUCCAUCCCGUGUAACCAGGCUUGAAACUAUUUUUCAACAAGUGCAUCUUCACAUGACCAGUGGACGGGUCAAUCAAAACUCCGUUUUUGUACUUCUUACAUGGACAUAAUAUCUCUUUUUUGCCUCUGCGAUUCAUAUCUUCCAACACCACCUCAAAGAACUCAUUUAUAGUUAGAUCCAUAUAAAUAUAUAUGUAAGAAUCUUUUCAUACCAUUUCCUACAAAAAAGGACUUUCAACACCACAAUAUAUAUAUACACCUUUUGUUAAAAAGUGAAAAUGGAAAAUUGAACAUAUGUUACCUAGAUUAGAUCGAUAUAGAUGAUAUCGCGGUCGAGGGCAGCACACGGUCGGGUGUAUUACUUAGGAUAUGCAAAGAGAAACAAGAAGGAUAAUGUUCACACAGCAGUAUGAGCUAGCUAGAUACGCACAGCUGCAAUCAAUCUAUAUAUAUAGAGAGAUGUAUAUACCUAUGGCGUGCUACCAUUUGAGAUGCCAGCACAAUAUCUAUUAACUGAUAUUGGGCCCCACUUAAACACUAAUGGUGUGGCCACAAAGUCCCACGACACAAGUAUCAGAC